UGGCUGUGGGGUGGAAGAACACAGUAACUCGAAGAGAGACAGUUGUCAUUUUCCUCUGAGAUGUUGACGGACGAAAUAUGGAACUUGAUUUUGCUGCUCGCUCCUGGAAAGUGCCUGGGAAGAGCUGAGUCUGGAGCUCAUCGGAUGCUCGGUGUUUUCACAGAGGCUGGGACACGGCACUGGGGGCCAGCACAGGCUUCGUUACAAAAGGCCGAAUUCCCCAUCCUGUUGGGGAUGAGAACCGGGGAGAGCGAAGUGUGACCUGUAGAGAAUAUUGGAAAGCAACUGCAAAGCUUGAAACAUAAGGAAAAGCUUUAAAAAUAACCCAUGCGUUUGUGAUCCCAAUCUCCAGCACGAUUCCCGCUGGAGGGAAGGACAAAGCUCCCCGGGAUUGCAGACAGGACAGGAUCAGGCCCUAACCAAACGAAAGGGCUUUGUUUGCCUGUUUGUUACCAGCUAGUCUUCACCUAGGACAAAUUCAGAUAACUUUUGUUCAGGAAUCUGACGACCUAAUUUUUUUUUCCUGAUCAACUUCAUUAUGCGGCGUUCUUUCCUUGUUUUAAAGCAGGUUUGGGACGAGAGGGUUUGAAGGAGAAUUCCCAUCUGUUAUCGAAGCAUUUAAUCAUUCUUUAAAAGCCGGGGCCGUUUUAUUUUCUCUGGGGAGCGAGCAGCAUUAGCCGAAGCAUAAAGCAAACUAUACCAAGUGCAGAAAAAACUCAGCCUGAUGUCCUGUUUGACAAAGUGACCUGCAGGUCACAACCUGAGUUUAUUGAUCUGUGGGGCCUUGUCUGGGUGUCGGGCAUGUUUUCUGGACUUUGGUUUCAGCUGCAUUCCUGACUUCUGAAAGAGGAGGGGGUGUGGAUUUCUGCUAGGAGUAACCACUGGGAAGGAAGUAAUGUUCAUUAAGUGUGCAGGCUGUGCAGGACUAAGCAUGCUCAGUGAAAAAAAGCUUUUCUCCUUUGCCUGUCAAGCCCUAUGUUUGAACUCAUUCCAGAAUGCCGGAUUUACUUUUCACGAAGAAACAGUACCUGGCCGGACUGCAUUUUUCUUUCUCUCCUUAGUCACGAGAAGGCUGGAAACAAUAUUCUUCUGCAGAGCAGGGCGCUCGCAGCCGUGCAGCAUGCCCGCGUGACUCUGGCAGGAGGAGGAGGACAAACUUUGCUACCUGUGAAACGAAGACUUCGUAGGCAGCAUUGGGAAUGAAAACAAUUCCAUUUACAAUGUUGUUCACAGGCUCCGUAAAUGAGUGACUUGGUGACUUCAGUGGGAAUUCCUCAUAAACAAGAAGGGAAAAAGGUCAUCUGGAUUCUUCUGAAGGCAGGAGCCAGGGCCAGAAAUCCCCUGAAAGACCUAUGCAAGAAGAGAAUCUCACCUGCUGCCUCGUCUCCAGAGACCCUGGCCUACACUGAGGUUCAGCUAAAGGUUGGUGACUGAGAGAGAAGGAACAAACCUGAGUGUUUUACAGCAGCCCAGCUGAACAAAUGGAUCAACCAAUACUGGUGAGGUUCCCUCUGUGAACUGGACAAUGGAAGUUGCCAACCCCAAUUCACGGUCGCUCUUCCUACUGGCAAACAUCCUAAGGAGGAGCUGUUUUUAGCUUGUGCCUGCUGAGAGUUGGAGGUGAAGAAGUGCACACCCACCCUUUGUGCCAUUCUUGCUGAGGACUUGUACAACGUGGCCAUUCCGGGCUGAACGUAUUUCCAGAUCUCCUUUUGGCAGCUGGAUAAGAAGGGAAUGCCACCACAAAGGAGGGAUCGUCGAGGCAAGGUUGAAGUCAUGCUCAACGGCAGCAGCAGUGCUGUGCAUCGCACAUGUCACCGCCGUGAUCGGUGAACUUCUCCCCCAGAGGGACUCUCAGACCUCUAACUGCAUUUGGGGAAAUCAAGACCUGAGCAGAUCCUUUUUUUAUUUCCACUCAUUUUCAGGGUGGUUCUUCCCAAACAAUGCUAAGCAGUCAGAAUACUUUCCUUGAAGAGUUGGGCCUAGCAAUAUGGCAGCGCCCGUUCGAUAAGAAAUCUUGUAAAGUGCUGCUACUGAGGACCACGUGCUCCCCGACCCAUUGCCUUGACUGCUGCACACAUUGCAGGGCUAGACCUUUCCGAAAGCCGGGUGCUCCCAAAUUGCAUUUAGGGUCCUACGUAAAAGUUUUGCUGGUUUUACAAAGAUGCUCCACGCCUGCAGCUUCUGCUCUUGGUAGGAAUUUCGGGCACUGAAAACUUUGGAAAAGCUGGAUACUUUAAAGUCACUGUCUAUAAAAUAGAGGUCCUUGUUCCGCAGAAGGAGUUUUGUGAAGACAGAGGUACUGAUCAUAUCUGAAUUGUUCAGCUUGCCGUGUUCUGUCUCAUACUGGAGUUGUAAGUGAGCACACCGAAUAUCCACAUUAAAACACGUUUCAUGUGGGCUACCACCAUGCUGACGGAUACAUUCAUUAGCUGUAGAGUUAAGAUUGACAAUAUUUAUAAUCUAAUAGUACUCUUAGAAGAGCACAAUCAACUAGAAAAGGUUAUCAUCACACUUUAAAAAUCCUAUUUAAAGAACGUCAUUUAUUACCGUAACUUAAAUAACAUCAUAUGCAGAUUGUUCCAUUUGUUUUCCUCGUUUUCUCUGUCGUAAAAACGUUGCACUGUCUCUUUGUGUUACAAAAACGACUAAAUUUAAACUUCGGGUGUAAUAGAGCCUGCGCUGCAAUGUGAAGUGAUGCAGAAGCACAGACUGGCACCAGGAGCGGGCAGACUGGCUGCUGCGCCUGCGUCCCGCGGCUAUUUCUGGCGUGCAGAGGCUGAGCGGUGUCUGCCGGGCCAAACGGCAGCCGAUGAGGAUAACGAGAGUAAUCUGGACAUAGCAGCUGUCUUCUGAGGACCUCAGAACUCUCUGUGGACACGCUUCUCUCUGCAAAAUUCCUCUUGCUCCAUUUCUAUGAGAACUAUUCCUGCAAACUGGGUCCCUAAGAGGAUUAGCGAAGGGGAUACCAAUUUAUUUAUACCCACCUCAGCAUGGUAGCAGCCAAACACUGUAAGUUGCUGGGUUAUUAAAUGGCCUGUAGCACAUGAAAGAAGCUUCAAUCUUCUGGGGCAGUUCAGAGUGGACAGGUGUCCACCUCACAGCUGCUCCAAACUGAUCCCCAGUUUUGGCAAUAUAUAUAUAUUUUUCUUUUUAACCUGUUCACAUUGGUGAUAUGAACAGGAGUGCUCAGGACUAAAUGGACCACAGGCAUUUGGUCCCUUUUAAAAUACAAGAACAAUUUUCAGGCCUCUUUCCGUUGAACUUUUUUUAACUGAUAAAAAAUAAAAGAACAAAAGAGAGAUACGGGGAGUUAGGGAAAUCCCUCAGACUUUCUCUGUUUAAAUUCCAAAUUCCUGGCAGUCACAGUGUCAGGUGAUGUUGCUGUUUGGGUUUGCUUCUAUAGUGCCUGGCUUGCACAGUCCCAAGCUGAGUUAAAUACGUGGCUAUGAUCAAAAGAGGAUGACGCCUCCAUUUCUUUGUGCCAGCCUGGAGGCCCUUAGGUGUUGGAGUCUAAGCCUUUGAAAAACAAGGUUGCUGGACUCCAGUAAAUAAAGUGUCCGGAUGCUAGUGAUGAUUCAUAAAAGCAAUUAAAAAAGGAAAGUGCUUCGCUGCUAAGCGUAAUGUCUUGGUUUGAAGAUGUCCUUAAGUGUGUGUAAUGAUGCAAAUAGUGGUCAGUGGAUAGUGACUGCUGUGUUUGAGAUUACGAAUCUGUUUCCAACAUAACUCCUGUCUUCACGUGGUCCUAAUGAUCAAAGCCACUUUUUUUUUUUUUUUUGGUAGCUGAAUCUUCUUUAUUUAGUCUGUAUUUCGAAAUAGAUAGUUCCCAUCCCUUCUUAAAUUUGUGAAAAGAGAAAAAAAAACACAACUCCAAUACUAAUACUAAUCCCAAUACUAAAUGAAGAUUUAGUAUUUUCGAUGUGAGAAAUGUGUUUUUUGAAAUUUAGACACUAGAGAUGGCAAAUGUUUGAAAUUUAUCCAACACGAUUUGGUUGGGGUUUUUUGUAUUGUUUUUAUUUUCAAUGCUACCUUCUUGCAUUACGGCCUUGACCUUCCACAGGCACAAAGCACCUCACUUGUACAGCUUUCAAAGUGAUUUGUAAUUAGCAAGGCUGAACUCUGCUAAGCCACAACUAGGGUUCUUGUUGCAUACAGAGAUCCCCCAGCAUGGCCACAUUGCCAAGCGAGACGUAGACCCCGAGGCAUAUUCUACAAGCUUCUCAAGUCAGCUCAACCAACUGUUAGCUCUUAGUCAUGGCUCUGGGGCUGCUGUUCUAGAGCAGAUGCUUCCAGUCGUAGCCAACUUCUCCAAGUGGAUGCCUCUGGCUUCUCUCGAGGUCUGUGUAUAGUCCGAAGCUGGGGCUUGGCUUUGCUUUGCCCUCACAUACUGCCCUUGAUUAGACCAGCCAUAUAUGCUAAGGGAAGCAAAAUAGUUUACUGAUUUAUCAUGGAUCAUUAGAUGGAGUAACUCUUCUUAAAACAUCACCAGUAUGGAUACAAUAAUUAGAGAUGUGCUUUUGUUAACAUUGCCAGCCUCUACCCUCUUGUACAGUACCCUUGGGUACUAAAUAAUUACCCACUUUGUGUGGUUAUCUAGCUCACUAAUUACCCACAAAAAUUGGGGUCAGGUGUUAACUGCUUGAAAUAAGUAUCCUCCAAAGACUUGGUUAAAUUGUGUAAAGAAAUUAUGUGUUUGCAGCAAAACUUUAAAAAAAAAAAUCAAACAUUUUUUGUUAUUGUUGUUGGAAGGAAGAUAGGGGAACGUGAAAAAGACAAUGGGUGUAAAUAAUUCUCUGUGAUGGCAAAAUCUUACCUACUGCUAUGAUGCUGAGGAUGGUAUCUGUACGGGUAGUGAAAGGAUGGUGGCAGAUACAGUCUCUCUAAUCCAGUCUACUUUUCCCAAAGAUUAGAUCCUUCAGUACACAGGGUUUGAUUCUUCCCCUAUCUAGGCUGAUGUCAAUCAGGAUUGUGUCGGUAUAAAUGAGAAAAUUUGUAUGCAUGGAUUCCUGGACUGUCUUUACUGCAUAAUUCCACCUCCUCUAUCACCCAGGGACUUCUGCAUUGCACCCAAUAAUUGAAUUAUGUAUUGUAUACGUAUUUCCAUAUGUUUAUUUUACUCGUUUCAAACUCUGUAUGCAUGCAGAAUUUCAUUCUAAGGCUGCUGCUCAUAAAAUGUAGCCUGCUUUGAGUAAUAAUUUAAUUCCUGUGUUCAGGGAGUUACCCCAGUGAGUCAAAGAUUUCUAGAUAGCCCCACCCUCCCCAACUUCCCGAACACUUACACUGCAGUCACUUUCUCUUUGCCAGACCCACACAAGACGCUGAACUAGCCAAAAUCCCAAGAGGCAGCUUCCCCUGCCUCCCCCAUUGUAGCCCCAGAGAAGUAGGAAGCAAAGCCACAAAAACCCCGAAACCAAAGCCCUUGAAAAUACCUGGCAAGGCACAGAGGCACGUUUAACAGCCCGCCUCCCUAACCUGGUGCCUCGCAUAGGUGCUGGCUGUCCGCAGUACAAAGGAUUUCAGUGGGAACUAAGGGAGGUGCUUCGGAAAAUCUCCCUGUGCACCCUCAGGAGCCGUGGAUAUCCAGCUGCAUUCACCGCUGCAGUCCUAAAAGCACCUGUGCAGUGCCCGGCGUAACAAAGAGACUGCCCUAUUGAUUUAGUGCUAGGUGCUUUAUGGCGAGCAGCACCUCCUGCUCCCACCAGCAGCCUGUACAGGGGCAGGUCUAGGGCACUGGUGGCGUGUUUCCCCCCCCAGCCCCAUAGAUCUGGUGGAUGUGGGGUGGCAGGUGAGGCCCCACAUGGCAAGGUGGGGGUCUUGUGGGGUGUACCUGCACUCCGCAUUGUGCAGCUCUGCAGGCACCAGCCUCCAAAAGCACAAUGCAGAUUUAGUCGUCAGCCCCUCUCCCCCCCCCCAGCUCCCCGCUGAUGUUAACUGUCUGUAUUAUUAUUUAUCGUUAUCAGGGGAUUUGGUUUGAUCAAUGAAGUGUAUAUGCGUCUGACGGACAUUGGGAGAGGAAAUGCUUGGAGAAUGAGUAACAUGUCUGCAGCGGAGGGUGUGUGUGUGUGUGAGGGAGAGAGAGAGGGAGAGCAUCGGUCCUAGGAGCAGUGACUGAUGAGUUCAUUUCAAAAUCCAAGGGCAUAUAGCUGGUAAAUUAGCACAUCUUGCAAAUAUAGUCCGGGCUGCGAGGCAGCAGCGGGGCUGCCAUUGAGCGGAGGGCUGGCUUGUGGGGAGGGCUCGGGGGGGUGUGUGUGUGUCGGGGGGGGGUGGGGGGGGUCGAGGAGAGGAGCUUGGCAGCUCGAAAGUCAUCGCGGGCAUGAGGCAGGCAGCCUGCUGCCUCCCUGCGAUUUCCACGGGCGGCUGCGGGCUGCAGCGUGCCGGGGGGGGGCGGCGGGGGGGAAGCCGACAGAGCAGCAGCAGCGGCGGAUUUUAUUGUUUUAAAAUCCAGAUCCAGCCAGAGGGAUGCCAGGCGAAGGGCUGCGGUCCCCCUAUUCCCCCCCUUAUCCCUUCCAUCCCUCCCCCCUUCCUUUUUUUUUUUUUUUUUUUUUUGCCUCCCCCCGCCCCCCCCUUCAAGCACCCCCGCAGGAUGGCGGCGUGGGGCAGCAGUCGGCUGCCGGAGGGGUCCCGGGGGCUGUGGGGUUUCUCCUUGGGGGGCUUUGGGGUUUCUCCCGGGGGCUGUGGGGUUUCUCCCGGGAGCUUAAGGGAUUAUUGGGGAGGGGGGAGCCGGGCUGGUGUGUGUGCGAGGCUGGCGGCGGCGGCGGGGGGAGCCGGGUCCUUAUUCUGUUAAAGAUUUAAGUAGGCAUGCAAGGAAUCUCUAGGAUAGUUGGCAAAGGGCGAGGGUGGGGAGGGGGGGGGGGAAGGAUCCAAAAGAGUCUGUAACCAGACACUGAAGCUUUCCAGGAGUGAGAGUGUGUGAGAGAGACGGAGACAGAGCGAGAGGAAGAGAGGGGGCAGUGUGGUCUAGUACAUUUUCAUCUGGUCGUUGAUUUGAGCCUGAUGCUUGCUGUCCCUCAACAGCCUCCCUUGCCUGGAUUUUUUCUUUCCCCCUCUCCUCUCCUUUCCCUUCUACUUCAUCGAAGCCUAGGGGAGCCAGUAAAGAUUAAAUGUGCUUUCUAAAAGGCAGCCACUUCAUGCAGCUAUGUCUACUCCCCCCCUCCCCACCAGCCGUCCCCCCCCCCCCCCGCCUUUACUCCCCCCCUUUUUGAAAUUAAAAAAAAAAAAAAAAAAAAAAAAAGGAGCGAGGGGGAGACAGAGAGGGGGAGAAGGAAGGAGGAGGAAGAGGAGGACUGUAGUUUAAUGAUGUCGGGACUGGCUGAUCCAGAAGGAGGAAAAAAAAAAAAAAAAAGGAGGAAAAAAAAAAAAAAAAGGCAAAGAUUUGAGAUCCUGGACGAGGAAGGACUUUGGUGAAUGGGCUCAGACUCCUGAGGUGAGAAAAGGACGGAGGGAGUGCCGCCGGGUCGGUGAUGGGGCCCGUGACCGCUGUGCGGGGCCGUGCGGGGCCGGGCCGGGGGGGGGCCGCUUUGGGCAGCGCCGGGCGCGGAGCGGCGGAAAUUUGGGAUUUUUUUACCCCCCCCUCCGGCACCUUCGGGCUUCCCCCCGGUUCUGCCGCUGGGCCCUGAAGCAGCUCCAGAGAUGGGUGGAGGGUGCAGCUCCAUAUUAUUUAUUUGGGGGGGGGGGGAGGAAAGGGGGGGGGGGGGAAAGAGAGGGAGGGGAGGGAGGGAGGGAAAGGGGGAGAAGAGCGGGGAAGGAGGUGGCGAGCUGGGGACGAAAUCCUGCUCUCGGUUAUGGCCGGCGUAAAUUUCCAUUGGCUGGGGUUGCACAAGGUGCUCGGAGAGGAGUCGGUGCAGGAUGGAGACCCUUUUGUGUGUGUGUGCGGGGUGGGGGGGUGGGGGGGGUGCGGGUGUGCGCGGGGCUCGGGGACCCUCCUCUCCCCGGGAAAAAAAAAAAAAAAAAAAAAGGAAAAAAAAAAAAUGGGUUUUUCUCCAGGUUUGCCUUCGAAAAAAGCCCGGCCCGCGGCUGGCAAGGGAGAGGGCGGCCGGGGCUGACAGCCUGGGGCUUGCUCUGGCUCCCGGCUGGCCCCAGCUGAUGCAGGGGCUGGGAGCCGGGCCGCAGCUCGCAGCCCCCCCAGCCCCCCCCGCUUUAAUAACGCCGCUGAUAAUUAUAAUUAUAAUAACAACGGCGGCGGCGGUGGGAGCGCGGAGGGAGGAGGGCGGCAGGCGAGGUGCUGCGGAGGAAUUCGGUUCCUUUUCCUUUUUCCCCCCUUUUCUUUUCCUUGAUAUAUUCCCUUUUUUUUUUUUUUUUUUUUUCUCCCCUUAAAAAAAAAAAAAAAAAAAAAAAAAAGAUGUUUUAAAAAUGCAAGCGGCUUGCCCAGCUGCACACACCCACCCCUCGCCUCCCUCCCCCGGCUUGCGCACACCGCACGCUCGCACUCGCUCGCUCGCCCGCGCUCGCUCGGGUGUCAAAACCCGGCGGGCACCCAGCCUGGUCCCGGCUCUGCCCUCCCUUACCCCUGCCCUUACCCCUGCCCCUUGCCCCUGCCCCUGCCCGCCCGGGGGCCCGCCCGCCCCCCGCCGCCGGGGCUUUUCCCCCCCAGCUCUCGGCGCUGAAGAACUGGAGCCUCCCCCGCUUCCAAGUGGACUAGCAGAUGGGGUUAAUUAACAUCACCGUCAUCAUCAUCUGCUGCUGCUGCUGAGACCCCGGCGUGCUUGGAGCCAGCACCCAGGGCAAGAGGUGUCCGAGCCUGUUCCUGAAGGUGCUGAGCAAGCUGCGUCUGGCUCCUGAGCAGCAGCGAGGGCUUUGGACUGCCUUCCCCACCUUGUUUCUGGCCGUCGCGGUGCGUCCCUCUUGCUCUGGUCCCCUUGCCGUGUCACCUGCAGCGGUGACAGGCAGCACCAGCCUCACGCCACGCUGCCCUUCACCUCCACACGAGGCUGCUUCGGGGCUGGGGCAGCGCAGGGAGCUUUGGGGCAGGAGCCAAGGUGCAGCAUAUGGCUGAGCGACCUGCCAAGCGCACGGGAGCAGGAUGCGCCCCAGAUAAGGGUCCCCUGCUGUGCCGGUGGCUCGCUCCAAGCACUGUCCCCUUGCUGGUGUCCCUCCUUUACAGGCUGCUUGUCUGAUUUUCCUCUGGCAUUAGAGGAGCACCAGAGACACGGGAGAGAUGGGGCUCGUGUGGUGCUUGUGAUGAAGCAGGAGCAUCGUUGUACGAGGCUUUUUUUUUUCUUCUGUGUUUGUUUCUUCUGCAGUUACCUUCCUCCUUUCUUUUCUAAAGUAGACCAUGAUUUAAGGCACUGCAAGGCCUGGGAGAGGGGCUGCAUCCCAAACCACUCAAAAGUGUUUUUUUGGGCUAAUAAACUCAGUGAUGUCCGGUAUCAAAGCUUUAACAUUUUCACGUUCUACCCCAAAGCAGCAAAAGGGCAAAUUUUGGUAUUCAACCUGCGCAUGAUACUGCUGGUGAGAGCAACUCAAUUCUCCAGGCAAAUCCUUUCUGAAAGCUUAAAGCAACAAGAAAUCACCCAACGGAGGCCAACUUUGAUGUGCAGCUCCCACUGCUUCCCCUCUGUCCUGUUCUGGGUGUCACUGGGCUUACCACAGCCUCCCAAAUUCGCUGUAUGUCUCAAGGCUGCUCAUGCCCGAGACAUGCAGGAGGGCUGGAUGGCAGGUGGGGGGAGGCUGGGGGCAAAAAGCCUCUUACUGAAGAUGAGAGGCAAAUUAUAAUGUUUUUCUUUCUGAAAUAGGGUCGCAACAUUUUUAUUUAUUUAUAUAUUUUUAAAGCAGCCAAAUGUUGAGGCAAGAGGAGGCGAAGCAGGUUUUCAAGGAGGGGUAGGAAUUGCUCAAGGUGGGGGUAGAAGUUGCUUUCCUGGCCUGAAAAUCAGGGAGCAGGGCUUUAGGAGCAGCACAGGCACUGUCCGUGCCCCUCUGGAGCCUGGCCUGCCCCCUGGCUGGCUCUUGCCUAUUCUAGAAGUAGGAAGAAGGGGAAAUUAUAGGGUCUGGGGAAGGUUAAGUGCUAGCUAAGGAGGCAAACAGAUGUGGCUGAGGACAGGGAGCCUCACCUGCAGCGUGCCUCAUCUGUGCCCCCCAGGGCAGUCUUUUGGGGCUGUGGUGGGACACGGGCAGCGUAAGCAAGGAGGGUCAAAUGAGGCAACAUCAUUUAGUCUGACGUAUGGAGAUUUAAAAACAACAAGAAAGAGGAUGGGCUGUUUCAGCCCGAAGCCUCCCGUGGCAGGCAGCCUGGGUGUAAUUCCUUCACAUCCCUCAAGUGAUGGAAAAAGGGGGAGGGGGGCUGUGGUCCCAGUUGCAAAACUUGCCAAGGAGCUGAGCCCCGAGCAGGGGCGCUUCCAGCAGCAGCAAUUCCGUGCUGUGCUGAGGAGCAGCUCCUCUCCUCCUCUUUUA